AUGAGUCCAUUAGUUUAAUAAUCACUGGAGGCCCAAAGGCUUGGUGCUUAUUGGCUAAUGGAAUUAUCAUUCAUAAUAUGAUCAUUUGGUUGAGUCUUUCUGAUGGUGGUCAGGUUGGCCGGCCAAAGUCGGGCCUGAUCAUUUAUUGGUCAGAUUUACCAAAUCAAGUCAUGUUAGUGGUUGGACCUAAUCAGAUCUUUUUAGUGGAGGCCAAAGCCUACUGAUUAGGUUCUGGGG
rnacentral:lncRNA from 1 species